rfam:Flammeovirgaceae bacterium 311, complete genome.
AAGAGCCGUAUGAAGGGAGACUUUCACGUACGGUUCCGUGAGAACGUGAGGGUGAAAUUCCCUCGCGUGACUCGAC